rnacentral:tRNA from 1 species
CAGAAAAUAAUAUAUUCAAGUAUAUAAAUUUUGGAGAUUUAAAGAGAGUAAUCUUUUCUGA